UAACGCGUGGGCAACCUGCCUUACACAGGGGGAUAACAGUUAGAAAUGACUGCUAAUACCGCAUAAGACCACAGUACUGCAUGGUGCAGUGGUAAAAACUCCGGUGGUGUAAGAUGGGCCCGCGUCUGAUUAGGUAGUUGGCGGGGUAACGGCCCACCAAGCCGACGAUCAGUAGCCGACCUGAGAGGGUGACCGGCCACAUUGGGACUGAGACACGGCCCAGACUCCUACGGGAGGCAGCAGUGGGGAAUAUUGCACAAUGGGGGAAACCCUGAUGCAGCGACGCCGCGUGAGCGAUGAAGUAUUUCGGUAUGUAAAGCUCUAUCAGCAGGGAAGAAAAUGACGGUACCUGACUAAGAAGCCCCGGCUAACUACGUGCCAGCAGCCGCGGUAAUACGUAGGGGGCAAGCGUUAUCCGGAUUUACUGGGUGUAAAGGGAGCGUAGACGGCGGUGCAAGCCAGAUGUGAAAGCCCGGGGCUCAACCCCGGGACUGCAUUUGGAACUGUGCUGCUAGAGUGUCGGAGAGGCAGGCGGAAUUCCUAGUGUAGCGGUGAAAUGCGUAGAUAUUAGGAGGAACACCAGUGGCGAAGGCGGCCUGCUGGACGAUGACUGACGUUGAGGCUCGAAAGCGUGGGGAGCAAACAGGAUUAGAUACCCCGGUAGUCCACGCCGUAAACGAUGACUACUAGGUGU
rnacentral:rRNA from 1 species